rnacentral:rRNA from 1 species
UACGUAGGGCGCAAGCGUUAUCCGGAAUUAUUGGGCGUAAAGAGCUCGUAGGCGGUUUGUCGCGUCUGCCGUGAAAGUCCGGGGCUCAACUCCGGAUCUGCGGUGGGUACGGGCAGACUAGAGUGAUGUAGGGGAGACUGGAAUUCCUGGUGUAGCGGUGAAAUGCGCAGAUAUCAGGAGGAACACCGAUGGCGAAGGCAGGUCUCUGGGCAUUAACUGACGCUGAGGAGCGAAAGCGUGGGGAACGAACAGG